rnacentral:rRNA from 1 species
AUUGAACGCUGGCGGCAUGCUUUACACAUGCAAGUCGAACGGGGUGGGGGGCAACCCUCAUUCAGUGGCGAACGGGUGAGUAAUGCAUCGGAACGUAUCCCGUAGUGGGGGACAACGCCGCGAAAGCGGCGCUAAUACCGCAUAUGCUCUACGGAGGAAAGUGGGGGACCUGAAAGGGCCUCACGCUAUGGGAGCGGCCGAUGUCCGAUUAGCUAGUUGGUGGGGUAAUGGCCCACAAAGGCGACGAUCGGUAGCUGGUCUGAGAGGAUGAUCAGCCACACUGGGACUGAGACACGGCCCAGACUCCUACGGGAGGCAGCAGUGGGGAAUUUUGGACAAUGGGGGCAACCCUGAUCCAGCCAUGCCGCGUGCGGGAAGAAGGCCUUCGGGUUGUAAACCGCUUUUAGUCGGGAAGAAAAGGCAUCUCCUAAUACGGGGUGUUCUUGACGGUACCGGCGGAAUAAGCACCGGCUAACUACGUGCCAGCCGCCGCAGUAACAC